UGGAGGCAGCAUCAGAGAGGAAGAAAGCAGUUCCUUCAUGCGAGAAAACGAAAUAGAAGUAGCGAGGUGGAGCCCUUCGCGCAAUAGAAAUGGAGGCACUAUGGUGAAGGCAGCGUUGGUGGAGACAAAGUUCGUUCGUUUGCGAGGGAAUAAGACAGCACGAGAAGAAGAAGAAAUGUGGUUUGUGCCUUAGAGGAAGAAGAAAGCUCGUGGAGGAGGAAGACGAAGUUUUGUUCGCUCAUGAAGGAGAAAGAAGAAGCAUUAUUUGCGUGAGAAGAAAUUUUUUGUGUUUCAGGAAAUGUAACUAGAGUUGUCAAAAUGGGUAACCCGACUUGACCUGACCUAGUCCACCACGGGUUGGUCACUUAGUGAGCCAACCCAACCUGACUCACUUAUCAGAGAGCUGAAAAAAUUUAAACUUAGCCUGACC
rnacentral:lncRNA from 1 species